UCUCCGUAGGUGAACCUGCGGAGGGAUCAUUACAAGUGACCCCGGUCUUACCACCGGGAUGUUCAUACCCUUUGUUGUCCGACUCUGUUGCCUCCGGGGCGACCCUGCCUUCGGGCGGGGGCUCCGGGUGGACACUUCAAACUCUUGCGUAACUUUGCAGUCUGAGUAAACUUAAUUAAUAAAUUAAAACUUUUAACAACGGAUCUCUUGGUUCUG
rnacentral:misc_RNA from 1 species